UAGGGAAUCUUCCACAAUGGACGCAAGUCUGAUGGAGCAACGCCGCGUGAGUGAAGAAGGUCUUCGGAUCGUAAAGCUCUGUUGUUGGUGAAGAAGGAUAGAGGCAGUAACUGGUCUUUAUUUGACGGUAAUCAACCAGAAAGUCACGGCUAACUACGUGCCAGCAGCCGCGGUAAUACGUAGGUGGCAAGCGUUGUCCGGAUUUAUUGGGCGUAAAGCGAGCGCAGGCGGAAUGAUAAGUCUGAUGUGAAAGCCCACGGCUCAACCGUGGAACUGCAUCGGAAACUGUCAUUCUUGAGUGCAGAAGAGGAGAGUGGAACUCCAUGUGUAGCGGUGGAAUGCGUAGAUAUAUGGAAGAACACCAGUGGCGAAGGCGGCUCUCUGGUCUGCAACUGACGCUGAGGCUCGAAAGCAUGGGUAGCGAACAGGAUUAGAUACCCUGGUAGUCCAUGCCGUAAACGAUGAGCGCUAGGUGUUGGGACUUUCCGGUUCUCAGUGCCGCAGCAAACGCAUUAAGCGCUCCGCCUGGGGAGUACGACCGCAAGGUUGAAACUCAAGUGAAUUGA
rnacentral:rRNA from 1 species